UGUAAGUUAGUUCAUUAGCAUUUCUGGCCACCCUCUUGUGCUGGACAAACAAUCUGGCCAAAGAACCCAGGCUGACAGACUCAGUUUCUUGAGGUUAGCAUGGUAAAAAUCCCACACAUAAUGAGAAUUCAGGAGCACAGUAUCACAAUGGCCAAGAACUAUCUUAGAGAAGACAGGUACACUAUUAUUCUCAUCUUAAGUAUGAAAAUAAAUGAAGUGCAGAGAGGAUAAGGAACUUGCCCACGGUCCUACAGUAGUUAUAUGUUUAUCUAUGAAGCAAUCCUUAUGGCUGGAUGCAAGGCUGGGGAGCGUGGAGUGGACAGACUGGUUUAACUAUAUGUCAUCUUCGUGUGAGCUAAGGACAGUGGAGGAAUGGUUUCCAAGGAAUAUCAAGUUACUGUUAUAAGAAGCAGGGAAAAUAAAUGUUAAACAGGGGUGUGUGUGUGUGUGUGU
rnacentral:lncRNA from 13 species